rnacentral:lncRNA from 1 species
GGAAUGUAAAUGUUACUCAACUCAACGCUGAGUUAAAUAUUACAUUUCCUUGUUUACAUAAACUUGAAAGUUAAGAAAAUGAAACGCUCACAUGAGUUUAAUGUUGUCUACCCCAAACAUAAAAAUAUACAAUAUACAACAAAACCCAACAAAAAAACUCUAUCACUAAGCCUCCGCUUCAACCCUGUUAAUCCUCACCUGCAGGUCUAACCCCUACACCAAGAAUUGGUGCACCGGGUUGUAAACAAUAAACCCGGUAAGUUAAAAAGCUCGAAUGAGUAAUUCUCAAAAUAACACUAAAUCUCCGAUUACCAAUUAAAUCACAUGAGCAAUUUAUAUCAAUAAAUAAAAUCCACAAAUCCAACACUUUUUCAAUUAACAUGUACCAAUGAGUCCCAGGUAUUAAUAAAUACCCCUCAUGACCUACAACAACAAAAUGUGUACCUAUGGGUCCCAGAUACCAUACAGUAUCUCCCAUGACCUAUAUUGAUAGACGGACUAGAACUCUAUUCCUAACCGCAACCAAUCACCCGGCCAAAGGCUUGGAACCCGGUUUGACUGUCUAAUAUCAAACACAAAAGUGAUAAAUAGCAUCUUAACCGCAACCAAUCACCCAAUUAAAGGCUUGAAACCCGGUUUGGCUAUUUAUCCAACAAUCAUAAUAUCACAACAUUAUUCUCAACAACACAAUAUCACAUCAUAAAUUAUAUCUUUCCACAUGGAUAUAUUUACAUGAACAAAAUAUAGAUAUUCCACAAGAAUAAUCUAUCAAUAAUCAAUAAAAUUAUGAUCACAUGAAUCUCAAAAUAGCAUUUAAAGAAAACUUGUUUUAUCUUACCUAUGAGUCGUUGACGAUCAAGCUCAUAUAUUUAAAAAAAAACCAUUAAAAACAUAUUAUCACAAUACCCUUAAACUAAUUAACCCUUAGUUCAAGGGAGGACAACUUUCCAAAGUCGUUGAACUUAGAGGCCGAAAAUGGCUGCCUCUAAUCCUCUAAUCCUUAAAUCCUUACUCAACCUCCACUAAGCCUAAUAUCACACCCAAAGUUCUAACACGCAAACCUUGCUCACAACCUAGGAAUUCUACAUCUUAACAAGCUCACAACAACAAGAGCUAGCUAAAACACAGCAACCUAAGCCAUAAACAUAGUCGAACGCGCUGCCACGCGCCGCCACAGGCGGCGGCGAGUUGGCCCCACGCGCCAAAAACUUUCGAAUUUGAGAAAACUCUCAACAGCAAAGUUGAAGCUUGAAGCAAAGGGAACAACUUUCAUACCUGAGGCUUCAACCAAUUUUGGCCGGAACCGGCCGGAAAAUGCCACGAAACCCUAACCCGGAAUCAAACUUCAAACUUGCAAAUCCGGGCUCAAAAACCUCAAAACUUGAUUCAAUCUAUGCCUAGACACUACCAGGAGGAGGAGAGGAUCAAGACUCACCUAAGGAUGCCCCUCGUCGCCGCCGGAAACGGCGAGUCCGACCGGAGACACAGCAGCCCUCUUUCCAGCAAUAAGGCUCCGAUUCCGGCGUGCCACACCGAGCAGCAGCUGCCCAGUCUUGAAGAGAGCACUUGUGGGAGUCAAAUGGGACCAGUGGCGGUCCAAUUGGUGGCUGGACGGCGGAGCUAGCUCCGGCGGAAGUUUGGUGUGCGGGUGAGUUCGGGAGAGGAAGAGAGAGAAAAGAGAGAAGAGAGUGAACUGGGUGAGGAGAGUGAGAAGAGAGAGAGCUGAUUUGUGUUAGGGUUUCCAAAAUAACCCACACACAAUUUUCUACUUAAACACUUUCCACACCCGGAAACUAACUUCCUCUGACCAUAACUUUCUCAUACGACAUCCGUUUUAAGCGUACCGUAUGUCUACGAACUCGUAUCGACAAACUCUACAACUUUCAAGAAGGAAGUUUUCGAAAAUAACUUACGGAAAAUAAAGUCAACUUUUGGCCUCUUAAAAGUCAAAACACCUUAAAAUAAACUCCUGAAACUUCAACUUCGCAUAAACCAAAGAAUUUCCAUAAAUAAUCCUUCAUUAAUUAAGGAAAUAAUACAAGAAAAAAUGAUAUGAAAAUCUAGGGUAUUACAAGCAAUAUCGCCAAGGAGAAAGAAGAACAUAACCUCGACAUCGCUUAACCCGAGUUCCUAUCUCUUCCAUUGUGUCUUCCAUGCUAUCUUUAUUUCUAGUCAUGUUUUCUUUGGCUAUGGAUUUCUAAACUUCUAGCUAGGGCUGAGAUAAAGCCCCCAGUAUGAUUACUCUAUUUUUUUAGUUGAUUUCUUUUGAAUUCAUGGAUUUCUAUGUUAAAUUCUCAAUCACUGUUUCAAUUGAACUUUUAUUCAAAAUCUUUGCUCAGGACCAAUAAGACCUAGGUUUUGUUUAUUAGUUAUUUGGCUAGAAAACAUGAGACUUGAUCGAGAGUAGAUGUUUUCUAGGGUUUCAAAGGAUUUAUUUAAUCUUGUGAUUAGAGAGUUGUAAGUUAAGGAUACAAGUGUUUGAUCAUAGUCGAUAUUCUUGUUUACAUGAUCUCCUAGUUCUUUUGUGUUUAAUGGAGUUGAACAUGUGUCAGGACCCACCCCGGAUUUCACCCUGAAAUCCGGAAUGAACACUGCGGGGAUCAACUCCAAAGAAGAUGCUACCGGAAAUUCAGCAUAACAUCCCUUGAAAAUAGACAACUCUUCCUAAAAACACCUGCAAACACACUUAUAAAAAAAUCAUACUCCAACCUUGUACUCCUGGAGCCUUCCUGCUCCCCAAGUUCAUCACAUCUCCCAAAAUAUCAAAUACUAAUCUAAAAGAAUCUCACUUCUAACAACAAAGACAUUUAAUAAUUUAUUAACUCGAUUAUCAUAACAUAUAUAAUAAUGAAAGAAAAAUAAUGAAUAAAGAAUAAGCGGAAACAGCCUCUGACUAUGCCUCGACUCUAUGUACGCUCGACCUCAAAUAAACUUAGUCUGCAAACUGGGCAUUUGAAACCGAAGAACCCAGAGGAAAGUAAUUUAAAACGUUAGAGUGAGUGGACAAAAAUAAAUUGAAUAAUUUAACAUAAAUGUAAUUUAAAUACUUUCCCACGUUUAAACUUUAAAAACUUAGAUGCACGCAACUUUAAUCAUCCAAAAAAACUUUAAAUCCAGAGUCACGAAAGAAUGAACAAACCAGCAAUACUGAAAUUUUGUAAGAAGAGACAAACCAGCCCCGUUGGUUAAUCAAUUACAUAAAUGAGAAAAUAAAACAAGGGGAAGAAAUAUAUCACCAUGUAAGAGGAGCUUCUUAGACUCGGGUCGGAACCUCCCAGACUCUAGUAGCGUCCCACGCUAAGCGCUCGACUCACCUAUGGUGAGGACCGUUAAUAAAGGCUAGCUAGCAAUGAACAAUAACCGAUUAGUGUCUCCCAGGCUAUAAUAGCGUCUCACGCUAAGCGCUCAACUCACCUAUGAUGAGGACCGCAUGCUAGCUAGUAAUGAAUAAGAGCUAGUAUGGUGACUAAAAACAUACGAAAUCACUAUUCAUAAAGCUUCCCUAAGAUCAUGUGAAUAGUACGGUUCUCAACCGUACUUAGAAAUUAUCAUCAGAAAUUAAAAUAAAACUCAAUGACGUGUCUCACGUCAAAAUAUUCUCAAAUUUAUAAUUAUAAGCGAGAUUUCAUUAUAAAUCAUAAAUAAUAUCUCCACCUGAAAUACUCACUAAACAAUUCUCAAUGUCAAGAUCAUUAUGCGACAAAUAAACGAGAAAAUUAUGAUGGAGAACUACCAGAAGUCCCAUUUUCGGUAUUCUUUUAUAAAUCUCAAAGUCAACAAAUAAAACAAUAAGAAUUAAAUCCGGAAUUGAUAAAGAAUAUCAAAACUCAAAUACCAAAUUAAUAACCCGACCUCAAAUCCAUAAAUCAUGACAAACUCUUAAUCAAUGCAUCAAACUCAAAUAAAUUUCAAGACCAUAUCAUAAACCGAAAUUUAUAAUAUAAGCUCGGAAAAUAGAAUGAUAAUUUCCAAAAUAAACCAUGCAUGCUUAUUCAUUUAAAAACAAAGUGUCCACUCACCGUAUUAGGCAUAAGCUUUCCAUUGCUCAUGACACUCCUCGCGCGCUGCCUCCAAAUAUCCAAGUCCUUGAGUCAAUCCCACACCUGACCAUAAGCUGUAGGACAAAUCGGUCAAACCGAACUUUGAAAUAACCAUUGCCUCGUCUUCUUUCCUAGUUUGACUCGGGUUUCCUAGGUUGACCAGGAUUUACCAAUUAACGAUGUUCAACGUUUUCCAAUCCAACCUUUGACUUAACAAUUCGAUACAAUUUUCACUAUACGUCCUACUAACAGUUAGGCACUUAGGCGUCGCUUAAUAAUUCGUUUUGGUGAACCUCGAUUUUGAUUAAUCAAACUAAUGUAAUUUGAUUAACUCAAAAACAUACGAACCACCUUAAUCUGAAAAACCACCAAAUUACUAAGGGCACCCAAAAGGGUUUGCAUAACCGAAAAGUUUUCAAAAAUGGAAAGUUUCUUAAAAUAGAAACUUUCAUAACUUGGUAAUUUUUCCAAUUACAACCCGAACUUUCCUAUUUCCGAAGUGACAUAAAACAAAAACAAAACAUCGAUCACUACCUCUACCAAAAUAUUUUGCCGGAAUUUCACGAUAGUCUCCCUGUAUCUUCCAAUCU